ACUAAUUCAAGAAAACCCCAUUACUCUUCCUAGUUGAGACCAUGAUGGCAUGUUUCGUAUUAUCUUGGCCAAACCAAAUGUAACUAAAGAAGGAGGACAUAACCCUGUUUAUAAUCAUGUUAAUGUGCUAGAGGGAGUUCAUCCAGAGAAUUUCAUGAAGACAUGGUCAACCUGGUUUGAAGGUCAUACAUGUUUCAAAUAAGAACAACAUAUCUUCUCUCAGAACUCGAUGAUGGCACUUGGGUGGUUACAGGGACUUCGAGACUCAUCGAAGGAACUUGGACAUAAGGAGCUUGAAAAUCGACAUUAGAAGCACUUAUAGGUUGGUUGGAGAAACUUUGACGAGACAGAUGGCUUAAGAGUAUCCAUAGGAAAAAGUUUAUCAUUUAGACUUCCAAUUUUAACUUUCUUGUGCCUCUCUAGUUAAUUCUUCUUUGUUGGCCUUUGAAGAUUAGCCAUGAGUACCUUCUUGAUGGGUUAGCCAAUGUCGACCCUUAGUUUCUUAUAGUCAAAGUAUCGCCCCGUGAUUUUUGCAAACUAAGAUAAAAGAGUUCAACAUAAGCAAUACUUAAUUGCACACAAUUAAACAUAAACUUGCACAUCCUUACAUAAGAAGUUGGCUACUUGAUCCUUAA
rnacentral:lncRNA from 1 species